AUUGAACGCUGGCGGCAGGCCUAACACAUGCAAGUCGAACGGGAACAGGAAGACGCUUGCUUCUUUGCUGACGAGUGGCGGACGGGUGAGUAAUGUCUGGGAAACUGCCUGAUGGAGGGGGAUAACUACUGGAAACGGUAGCUAAUACCGCAUAACGUCGCAAGACCAAAAAGGGGGACCUUCGGGCCUCUUGCCAUCGGAUGUGCCCAGAUGGGAUUAGCUAGUAGGUGGGGUAACGGCUCACCUAGGCGACGAUCCCUAGCUGGUCUGAGAGGAUGACCAGACACACUGGAACUGAGACACGGUCCAGACUCCUACGGGAGGCAGCAGUGGGGAAUAUUGCACAAUGGGCGCAAGCCUGAUGCAGCCAUGCCGCGUGUAUGAAGAAGGCCUUCGGGUUGUAAAGUACUUUCAGCGGGGAGGAAGGGAGUAAAGUUAAUACCUUUGCUCAUUGACGUUACCCGCAGAAGAAGCACCGGCUAACUCCGUG
rnacentral:rRNA from 1 species